rnacentral:rRNA from 1 species
UACGUAGGGGGCUAGCGUUGUCCGGAAUCAUUGGGCGUAAAGGGCGCGUAGGCGGCCAUUCAAGUGACGGGUGAAAGCCCUCGGCUUAACCGAAGGAACUGCCUGUCAGACUGGAUGGCUUGAGACCGGGAGAGGUGAGUGGAAUUCCCAGUGUAGCGGUGAAAUGCGUAGAUAUUGGGAGGAACACCAGUGGCGAAGGCGGCUCACUGGACCGGAACUGACGCUGAGGCGCGAAAGCGUGGGGAGCAAACAGG